rnacentral:rRNA from 1 species
GCAGUCAAUUGUCCUUUAAUUGGGGAAAGGAAUGAAAGGGUUGACGAGGGGGAGGCUGUCUUUGUAAUAUAAUUUGAAAUUUUCUUUUACGUGAAAAGACUUAAAUUUUAAAAUAAGAAGAGAAGACCCCGGCGAGCUUGUUAAGGGUUGUUAAAUGAAAAUGACCAUUGAGGUUUGUUGGGGCAACGCAAAGGGAAGAAAACUCCUUUGAACGUGAUAAGGAUCCACUAAGAGUGAAUAAAGCAAAAGCUACCGCGGGGAUAACAGCGCAAUUUUCUUAGAGAGUUCAUAUCGAAGAGAAAGUUU